rnacentral:lncRNA from 1 species
UUUUUUUUUUUUUUUUUUUUUGGUCAUCUCCCUGUAAGAUCAGAUUCUCUGAGAAAUAGACCCAGACUCUAAGGUUGGCAUGUAGAAGAUUUGCUGGGAGUGCUCUUGAGAACCACACUGAUGAGGGAUAGGGGAUGAAGGAAGCAGGACUGGCAAGAAGGAGAAGUUGAACUGUAAUGUGAUUGCAACAAAGACCUCAACUGAUCCUGAGAGGACUGCUGGGGCUGGAACGGCACAUUUGUGGUUUGCUAGGAAAGUCUCAUGUAUUCCCAUUGUCCCAGUGCAAUUAGUAAUCAUAUCCAUCCCUUUUAAACUUUGAGUAUUACAGAUGGGAAGAUUAAAAAAAAAAAAAUCCACUCAGUUCUUGCUGGAGCCACACUGGGGCAACUCCCUUUUCCUUUCUUCAUCAAUCAAUUGAUCAGUUAAUACUUCCUGAAUACUUACUAUGUGCUAAUCAGGUAGAUACGGCAAUGGCCAACACAAGACCAGUGCCCAACCACCCACCACACACACCUUCAGGGAAUUUAGAGUUUCACACUAAAUAUAGAUGAUUGGACAUUCUUAUACUGUUGUAAAUUUUAUAGUUGAGAGGGGAGACUGUGGAGACAUUGAAGAGAGUGAAGGUAUUUGGAUUUGGAAAGUACCGGAGUCCUAGCAAGGGAAGAAAAGUUGGUCAGAUGAAAAAAGCAGAAGAGCCUUCUCUUAUAAGUCAUACUAAUGUGUUUGGACAUUUCCCUAAAGAAAAUGUUGAGAUGUUGAAGUGUUUAAAGCAAGGUAAUUAAGCAUCCCUGUGUUUCUCUACAUUUAUGACUUUAUUUCAUACUUGCCAACUGAAAUGCCUCAUACCUCUCUUUGCAUAUCAACACCACUUGCCUGCUUAAGUUCCACCUUCUUGUGGCAAUUUUAUUUCCUGGUAGAUGUGAAUGAAACGUAUCUGAGUCUUUAUUUUGACAUAAUACAUCCUCAGUUUUUAAGAAACCAUUCCUUAGAUGUAUGUCUUAUUUAUCCUUGGUAAGGAUUUAAAAGUAAGCUCAUUGAGAACAGUGACCAUGCAAAGAGGAGGUUGUUGCAUGUAGUAAGUUUCUAAUCAUCAUUUAAACAUUGAAAGGCAGGAUUUUAGCAUGUAUGUGUUAGGUGUUUUCUCUUUGUGUCAGCUACAUAUAGGCUACAGAGUUGGGGCUUACACUGCAAUGGGUAAGAUAGACAAAGAGGAGUUCCCGUCGUGGCUCCGUGGUUAACGAAUCCGACUAGGAACCAUGAGGUUGUGGGUUCGAUCCCUGGGCUCACUCAGUGGGUUAAGGUCUGGUGUUGCUGUGAGCUGUGGUGUAGGUCACAGACAUGGUUCAGAUCCCACGUUGCUGUGGCUUUGGCAUAGGCCGGCGGCUACAGCUUUGAUUAGACCCCUAGCCUGGGAACCUGCAUGUGCCUUUGAUGCAGCCCUAGAAAAGGCAAACAAACAAACAAACAAAAAAAACAAAAAACCAACCAAACAAGCAAAAAAGAUAGAGAACAGGGAUGUAGACACAAGUGCUUUAUUUUUUAAUUUUUUAUUUUUUUAAAAGUUUUAUUGAAGAAUAGUAGAUUUGCAAGGUUGGGAUAAUUUCUUCUGUACAACAAAGUGAUUCAGUCAUACAUAUACACACAUAUGUUCUCUUUCAGGUUCUGUUCCUAUACAGAUUAUCACAGAAUAUUGAGUAGAGUGCUCUGUGCUAUACAGCAGGUCCCUGGUGGCCAAUCAUUCCAUAUACCUGAGGGUACAUAUGUCAAUCCCAAGCCCCCCAGUCCACUCCCCCCUAGACCUGUCUCCUUUGGUAACCAUGUUUUUCAAAGUCUGUCAGUCUCUUUCUGUUCUGCAAAUAAAUUCAUUUGUAUCCUUUUUUUUUUUUUAAGAUUCCACAUAUAAGUGAUAUCAUAUGGUAUUUGUCUUUCACUGUCUAACUUCACUUAGUGUGGUAGUUUCUGGGUCCAUCCAUGUUUCUGCAAAUGGCAUUAUUUCAUUCUUUUUGGUGACUGAGAAAUAUUACAUUAUAUAUAUGUGCCACAUCUUCUUUAUCCAUUCCUCUAUUGAUGGACAUGUAGGUUGCUUCUGUGCCUUGGCUAUUCUAAAUAGUGCUACAGUGGAACAUUGGGGUAUAUGCAUCUUUUAGAUGCCCUGGAGUGGGAUUGCUGGAUCAUAUCGUAUGAAGACAUGGGUGUUUUAACAUGUAGAGUUUAUUGUUAUUCAGCUGUUGUGAGUCCAAGGGAUCAGGAGAUGACGGCCAUUGAAAAAAAUAGUCUGCUACUCACAGCUCCCAAGGGGAAGGGGCUUGCCACACUAUGCAGGGUCAUGAGAAGCAUGAGGGGUAGGUCAGGAGGGAGAAGUAGGGGGAGGAAACAUGGACAAGGGCCUUUACUGUGGUUUCCAUGGGGGGAAAAACAGGUAAGGCAGGCAAACAGGUGUGGGAUUGACUAGUGUAAAUGAUUUCAGCAUGUUUUGGGGUACAGUGGUUGUCCUGACUUGUCUGGUACUUAGAUUUGGGGUGAUUAAGGCAGGAACUUUGGCUUAGAGCAUAAAAGUCAGAGGAGAUGUGUGUGUUUGAGGGAGUUGGGUUUGGGGUUGGUUAGUUUGCAUGUGAAGGGUAUCUCAGAGAUGUAUUGUUUACUCCAGUAAUUGGCUAUCCCUGGGAGAGGCAGUUUCCUCACCAUCAGUAAGACCCCACAUGUCAACGUCAGACUCAAAAGACAAGUUUAAUACAAUGAGCUAGAAACCACAGAAAAACUGAAAGACAGUAUUAAUCCUGAACAGAAUGAAUUUAUUAUGAAGAAAAGUACUGGAGUAGGGCUUGGUUUCAGGCAUCAUGCUGCUGAAAAGCUGUGGGGCCUUGCAAACGUAACUUCAUCUCUCUGAGAAUGUUUCCUAGCAUGAAAAUGAGGGCACUGGAUCAAUAAUUUUCUAACUGCACUUCCUAUAAUCCCACAAAGGCCAUUAAGAGGACCUCAUAGUGCCAGCCAAGAAGUGGACUUUUAGGCUUUUAUCCCAGCCUCAAUCAGAACAGCAAUGACUUUAUUCAUUUUACAUGUUGGGACCAAGUGUUUCUAAGUGUGAAUGCAUGCAUGCACCGCCACCCCAAUAUAGAGCUAAGUCUCAGAACAAUUUAAGGAGGCGACAGCUUUUCCUUUUUCUCCUUUCUAGUUCUCCUUCCAUCAUUGCCUGGGAAAGCAUCCUGAGAGUCUGCAGGGUAGAGGAGAGAGGAUAUCCUGGGCUAGAGCAGAUGGUCAGAGAUAAGCAAAAUCCUCUAUAAUGGUUGCAGUGAGCAAGACCAUGCUCAUGAAUGCACCAAUCACAUGCUGCAGUCUGCCACUCUGCAUAGACUCUCAGUGCUCUCUCCCUACACCUGUCUGUCAUUACAGCUCCUCAUUCAUACGGAAAACAGCGGGAAACCCCAGAUUAUGAAUCCUUGUGCUGAAAAGUGCUAACAGUCUGAUCCACCAUGGACUUGACCACAAGAGUGGAUUGCUAAGAGCCCACAGCAGGGGGCAUUUUUUCUUUUUUUCUGCAACAUCUUUGAAGCCUUUCUUAUUAUCCAUUCCUAUUUGUUGGUGCCCUGUUUCAUAGUUCAUUACCUCUUAGGUGGUCUAUUUUAGUAACCUCCUAUGGAAGGUCUGACCACCUCCAUUCUCUCAUCUCCAAAUCAUCUGGCACUUACUAAUAAUAUAAUACUCACUUUUUAAUACUCUUUCCUCGCUCCUCAUUUACAUCACAAUACAUUCCAUAGGAUCACAGUCUUCUGUAUACUGAUCUUAAUCUACCUUUUUAGAUCUUACCAAAUUAUAUUCACAUUAGCAAUACUAGAUAAUAUGCUCCCUCCUCUGUCUCUCUUAUCCACAUCAGUCAUCCUCUUUUCUUUCUUUCUUCUCCUUUUUGUUUUAUUUUGUUUUUGUUUUGUUUUGUUUUGUUUUUGUUUGUUUUUAGGGCUGUUCUUACAGCACAUGGAGGUUCCCAGGCCAGGGGACAAAUCAGAGGCCACAACUGCUGGCCUGGGCCACAGCCACUUGAGAUCCAAGCCACCUCUUCAGCCUACACCAUAGCUCACUGCAAGGCUGGAUCCUUAACCCACUGAGCAGGGCCAGGGAUUGAGCUGCGUCUUCAUGGAUACUAGUUGGGUUCAUUACCACUGGGCCACAACAGGAACUCUUCAAGUCAUCAAUAUUGGGCUUUUCCCAUAAAACAUCCUGUUAGUUAAAGGAACUUAUUCUAUACUAGAGGUUAAUUUGUAUUCUAGUACUUUGCUUACACAUUGGUUAGUCCGCCCUGGAUGUAAGAGUUUCAUGCUUUUGUAAAGCUUUCACAUUGGUAAGAAUAAGACUUGGUCUAUAAUGAGAUUAUGUUAAAAUUAGUUUAAUACAAUUUUAGAAUCACUAUAAUUUCUCCAUUUCAGAGAACACUACUCUUAUACCUUUCUUUUAUCCAUCUCUCUGACUUUUCAGCCAAGCAACCAAUAGAUGG